UACGGAGGGUGCGAGCGUUGUCCGGAAUCACUGGGCGUAAAGCGCGUGUAGGUGGUGGGACAAGUCUGCUGUGAAAGCGCCUGGCUUAACCGGGCGAGGUCGGCGGAAACUGUCCGACUCGAGGACGGUAGAGGGGGGUGGAAUUCCCGGUGUAGUGGUGAAAUGCGUAGAGAUCGGGAGGAACACCUGUGGCGAAGGCGGCCCCCUGGGCCGGCCCUGACACUGAGACGCGAAGGCGUGGGGAGCGAACGGG
rnacentral:rRNA from 1 species